rnacentral:tRNA from 1 species
GAUGAGGUUGCCAAGUGGUUAAGGUGAUAGACUGCUAAUCCAUUGUGUUUUUCAGGCAUGGGUUUGAAUCCCAUCCUCAUCA